rnacentral:rRNA from 1 species
CAGUAGCCGCGGGAAUACGGAGGGGGCUAGCGUUGUUCGGAAUUACUGGGCGUAAAGCGCACGUAGGCGGCUUGGUAAGUUAGAGGUGAAAGCCUGGAGCUCAACUCCAGAAUUGCCUUUAAGACUGCCGAGCUAGCAGGUGAGAGAGGUAAGUGGAAUUCCGAGUGUAGAGGUGAAAUUCGUAGAUAUUCGGAAGAACACCAGUGGCGAAGGCGGCUUACUGGCUCAUACUGGACGCUGAGGUGCGAAAGCGUGGGGAGCAAACGGGAUUAGAUACCCGAGUAGUCCCUGUCUCUUAUAU